rnacentral:rRNA from 1 species
AGUUCUUCGGAAUUAGAGACCGGCGCACGGGUGCGUAACGCGUAUGCAAUCUACCUUUCACAGAGGGAUAGCCCAGAGAAAUUUGGAUUAAUACCUCAUAGUAUGCAGAGUUGGCAUCAACACUGCAUUAAAGUCACAACGGUGAAAGAUGAGCAUGCGUCCCAUUAGCUAGUUGGUAAGGUAACGGCUUACCAAGGCUACGAUGGGUAGGGGUCCUGAGAGGGAGAUCCCCCACACUGGUACUGAGACACGGACCAGACUCCUACGGGAGGCAGCAGUGAGGAAUAUUGGUCAAUGGGCGCAAGCCUGAACCAGCCAUGCCGCGUGCAGGAUGACGGUCCUAUGGAUUGUAAACUGCUUUUGUACAGGAAGAAACAGUUCUACGUGUAGAACCUUGACGGUACUGUAAGAAUAAGGAUCGGCUAACUCCGUGCCAGCAGCCGCGGUAAUACGGAGGAUCCAAGCGUUAUCCGGAAUCAUUGGGUUUAAAGGGUCUGUAGGCGGUUUAGUAAGUCAGUGGUGAAAGCCCAUCGCUCAACGGUGGAACGGCCAUUGAUACUGCUAGACUUGAAUUAUUAGGAAGUAACUAGAAUAUGUAGUGUAGCGGUGAAAUGCUUAGAGAUUACAUGGAAUACCAAUUGCGAAGGCAGGUUACUACUAAU